rnacentral:rRNA from 1 species
UGGGGAAUAUUGCACAAUGGGCGAAAGCCUGAUGCAGCAACGCCGCGUGAGUGAUGAAGGCCUUCGGGUUGUAAAGCUCUGUCUUUUGGGACGAUAAUGACGGUACCAAAGGAGGAAGCCAACGGCUAACUACGUGCCAGCAGCCGCGGUAAUACGUAGGUGGCAAGCGUUGUCCGGAUUUACUGGGCGUAAAGGAUGCGUAGGCGGAUUUUUAAGUGAGAUGUGAAAACCCUAAGCUUAACUUGGGGACUGCAUUUCAUACUGGAAAUCUAGAGUGCGGGAGAGGAGAAUGGAAUUCCUAGUGUAGCGGUGAAAUGCGUAGAGAUUAGGAAGAACACCAGUGGCGAAGGCGAUUCUCUGGACCGUAACUGACGCUGAGGCAUGAAAGCGUGGGUAGCAAACAGGAUUAGAUACCCUGGUAGUCCACGCCGUAAACGAUGAGUACUAGGUGUAGGAGGUAUCGACCCCUUCUGUGCCGCAGUUAACACAAUAAGUACUCCGCCUGGGAAGUACGAUCGCAAGAUUAAAACUCAAAGGAA